rnacentral:rRNA from 1 species
UACGUAGGGGGCAAGCGUUAUCCGGAUUCACUGGGUGUAAAGGGAGCGCAGGCGGUACGGCGAGUCUGAUGUGAAAACCCGGGGCCCAACCCCGGGACCGCACCGGAUACUGCCGGACUCGAGUGCCGGAGGGGCAGGCGGAAUUCCUGGUGUAGCGGUGAAAUGCGCAGAUAUCAGGAGGAACACCGGUGGCGAAGGCGGCCUGCUGGACGGUAACUGACGCUGAGGCUCGAAAGCGUGGGGAGCGAACAGG